GACGAACGCUGGCGGCGUGCUUAACACAUGCAAGUCGAACGAAGAGCGAUGGAAGCUUGCUUCUAUCAAUCUUAGUGGCGAACGGGUGAGUAACGCGUAAUCAACCUGCCCUUCAGAGGGGGACAACAGUUGGAAACGACUGCUAAUACCGCAUACGAUCUAACCUCGGCAUCGAGGAAAGAUGAAAGGUGGCCUCUAUGUAUAAGCUAUCACUGAAGGAGGGGAUUGCGUCUGAUUAGCUAGUUGGAGGGGUAACGGCCCACCAAGGCGAUGAUCAGUAGCCGGUCUGAGAGGAUGAACGGCCACAUUGGGACUGAGACACGGCCCAGACUCCUACGGGAGGCAGCAGUGGGGAAUCUUCCGCAAUGGACGAAAGUCUGACGGAGCAACGCCGCGUGAGUGAUGACGGCCUUCGGGUUGUAAAGCUCUGUUAAUCGGGACGAAAGGCCUUCUUGCGAAUAGUUAGAAG
rnacentral:rRNA from 1 species